GGGCGAAAGCCUGAUGGAGCAACGCCGCGUGAGUGAAGAAGGAUUUCGGUUCNUAAAACUCUGUUGUAAGGGAAGAAUAAGUACAGUAGUAACUGGCUGUACCUUGACGGUACCUUAUUAGAAAGCCACGGCUAACUACGUGCCAGCAGCCGCGGUAAUACGUAGGUGGCAAGCGUUGUCCGGAAUUAUUGGGCGUAAAGCGCGCGCAGGUGGUUUCUUAAGUCUGAUGUGAAAGCCCACGGCUCAACCGUGGAGGGUCAUUGGAAACUGGGAGACUUGAGUGCAGAAGAGGAUAGUGGAAUUCCAAGUGUAGCGGUGAAAUGCGUAGAGAUUUGGAGGAACACCAGUGGCGAAGGCGACUAUCUGGUCUGUAACUGACACUGAGGCGCGAAAGCGUGGGGAGCAAACAGGAUUAGAUACCCUGGUAGUCCACGCCGUAAACGAUGAGUGCUAAGUGUUAGGGGGUUUCCGCCCCUUAGUGCUGCAGCUAACGCAUUAAGCACUCCGUCUGGGGAGUACGGUCGCAAGACUGAAACU
rnacentral:rRNA from 1 species